rnacentral:rRNA from 1 species
AGUGGCGCACGGGUGCGUAACGCGUAAGCAAUCUACCUUUUACUGGAGGAAAACAUGGGGAAACUUGUGCUAAUACUGCGUAAUAGAUUGAGUGGCAUCACUUGAUUUUAAAAGCUACGGUGGUAAGAGAUGAGCUUGCGUCCCAUUAGCUAGUUGGUGUAGGUAACGGCUCACCAAGGCGACGAUGGGUAGGGGAACUGAGAGGUUGAUCCCCCACACUGGUACUGAGAUACGGACCAGACUCCUACGGGAGGCAGCAGUAAGGAAUAUUGGUCAAUGGACGGAAGUCUGAACCAGCCAUGCCGCGUGUCGGAAGAAGCUCCUUGUGGGUGUAAACGACUUUUAUCAGGGAAGAAAAAGCUCUUGCGAGAGUAACUGACGGUACCUGAGGAAUAAGCACCGGCUAACUACGUGCCAGCAGCCGCGGUAAUACGUAGGGUGCGAGCGUUGUCCGGAUUUAUUGGGUUUAAAGGGUGCGUAGGUGGCUGUUUAAGUCGUGGGUGAAAUGCUGUGGCUCAACCAUAGAAGUGCCUGCGAUACUGGAUAGCUUGAGUAAUUUGGAGGUAGCUGGAAUUGAUGGUGUAGCGGUGAAAUGCAUAGAUACCAUCAGGAACACCGAUAGCGAAGGCAGGCUACUACGGAUUAACUGACACUGAGGCACGAAAGCGUGGGUAGCAAACAGGAUUAGAUACCCUGGUAGUCCACGCUGUAAACGAUGAGGACUCGUUGUUUGUUCGUUAGGGCAAGUGACUUAGGGAAACCGUUAAGUCCUCCACCUGGGGAGUACGCACGCAAGUGUGAAACUCAAAU